CGAAGCGGAUCUCUUAAAGCUGUUCUCAGUUCGGACUGCAGUCUGCAACUCGACUGCACGGAGCUGGAAUCGCUAGUAAUCGCGGAUCAGCACGCCGCGGUGAAUACGUUCCCGGGCCUUGUACACACCGCCCGUCACACCAUGGAAGUCUGCAAUGCCCGAAGCCGGUGGCCUAACCACUUAUGUGGAAGGAGCCGUCUAAGGCAGGGCAGAUGACUGGGGUGAAGUCGUAACAAGGUACC
rnacentral:rRNA from 1 species